CCUACGGGUGGCAGCAGUGGGGAAUAUUGGGCAAUGGGCGCAAGCCUGACCCAGCAACACCGCGUGAAGGAAGAAGGCUUUCGGGUUGUAAACUUCUUUUCUCAGGGACGAAGCAGGUGACGGUACCUGAGGAAUAAGCCACUGCUAACUACGUGCAAGCAGCAGCGGUAAUACGUAGGUGGCAAGCGUUAUCCGGAUUUACUGGGUGUAAAGGGCGUGUAGGCGGGAAAGUAAGUCAGAUGUGAAAACCAUGGGCUCAACCUGUGGCCUGCAUUUGAAACUGUUUUUCUUGAGUACUGGAGCGGCAGACGGAAUGCCUAGUGUAGCGGUGAAAUGCGUAGAGAUUAGGCGGAACACCAGUGGCGAAGGCGGUCUGCUGGACAGCAACUGACGCUGAGGCGCGAAAGCGUGGGGAGCAAACAGGAUUAGAUACCCUUGUAGUC
rnacentral:rRNA from 1 species